AGAGGAUGCUGCAGAAUCUCUCAGGGGAGCAGUGACUUCAACAACAAAAUGAGUAUAAAAUUCUACUUGUGAUACAUUUACUAAAAACCUUAAGGAACAGGAAUAGAAGCAAAAGAACAGACUGGAAACAAGAAUUGUAUGAGAUAUAGAAGAGAGAAAAAUUGCAUGCGUCUCUUCCUAGAAUACCUUCUGAGGCUGAAUUGUGAUUCUUCUUACAAUCAGAGAAGAAAAUGACUUCCUGCCAUAACAUAAAGGGAAAAGAUAAUUAUCCUUUGCUGAGGAUAGACUAGCACUUCACAGAUGCACCGGAGAAACCAGUGGUAAAAUGGUAAAUGUGUGAACAUUUCUCUAAUCACUCAUGGCACCAUG